rnacentral:rRNA from 1 species
CCUACGGGGGACAGCAGUGAGGAAUAUUGGUCAAUGGACGCUAGCCUGAACCAGCCAAGUAGCGUGAAGGAUGACUGCCCUAUGGGUUGUAAACUUCUUUUAUAUGGGAAUAAAAUGAAGUACGUGUACCUUUUUGCAUGUACCUUAUGAAUAAGGAUCGGCUAACUCCGUGCCAGCAGCCGCGGUAAUACGGAGGAUCCGAGCGUUAUCCGGAUUUAUUGGGUUUAAAGGGAGCGUAGAUGGGUUGUUAAGUCAGUUGUGAAAGUUUGCGGCUCAACCGUAAAAUUGCAAUUGAUACUGGCAGCCUUGAGUACAGUAGAGGUAGGCGGAAUUCGUGGUGUAGCGGUGAAAUGCUUAGAUAUCACGAAGAACCCCGAUUGCGAAGGCAGCUUACUAAACUGUAACUGACGUUGAUGCUCGAAAGUGUGGGUAUCAAACAGGAUUAGAUACCCCAGUAGUC